UGACGCGCAUUUUUUUCAGAAGAAGAAAGUCAGACGCAGCUACGCGGGGUGAGUGACAAAGAAUUUCGGAUGGUAAAGCUUUGUUGUUAGGGAAGAACAAGAGCAAGAGUAAUUGCUUGCACUUUUACGGUACAUAACCAGAAAGCCACGGCUAAAUACGUGCCAGCAGCCGCGGUAAUACGUAGGUGGCAAGCGUUGUCCGGAAUUAUUGGGCGUAAAGGGCUCGCAGGCGGUUUCUUAAGUCUGAUGUGAAAGCCCCCGGCUCAACCGGGGAGGGUCAUUGGAAACUGGGAAACUUGAGUGCAGAAGAGGAGAGUGGAAUUCCACGUGUAGCGGUGAAAUGCGUAGAGAUGUGGAGGAACACCAGUGGCGAAGGCGACUCUCUGGUCUGUAACUGACGCUGAGGAGCGAAAGCGUGGGGAGCGAACAGGAUUAGAUACCCUGGUAGUCCACGCCGUAAACGAUAGUGCUAAGUGUUAGGGGGUUUCCGCCCCUUAGUGCUGCAGCUAACGCAUAAGCACUCUCGCCUGGAGAACGGAGGGCC
rnacentral:rRNA from 1 species